UCCGCUCCCGCGCCUCCUGCCUCCUCCCCCGUCGUCCUGGUCCGCGGCGCCCGAGGGGGGAGGCGGCAGGCGCCCGGAGCCGCGCGAGGAGCCGCGGCCGCCGCGCCAUGGAGCCCGAGUGAGCGCGGCGCGGGCCCGUCCGGUUCCGGACAACAUGGAGGCGGCGCCGCCCCGGCCUCGGCCGCCGCCGCUGCUGCUGCUGCUCGCGCUCUGCUGCAGCCUGGCCCCCGCCGCGGCCUCGCCGCUCCUCCUGUUUGCCAACCGCCGGGACGUACGGCUGGUGGACGCCGGCGGAGUCAAGUUGGAGUCCACCAUUGUGGUCAGCGGCCUGGAGGAUGCGGCUGCGGUGGAUUUCCAGUUCUCCAAGGGAGCCGUGUACUGGACGGAUGUGAGCGAGGAGGCCAUCAAGCAGACCUACCUGAACCAGACGGGGGCUGCCGUGCAGAACGUGGUCAUCUCCGGCCUGGUGUCGCCCGACGGCCUGGCCUGUGACUGGGUCGGCAAGAAGCUGUACUGGACGGACUCGGAGACCAAUCGCAUCGAGGUGGCCAAUCUCAAUGGGACGUCCCGGAAGGUCCUCUUCUGGCAGGACCUGGACCAGCCGCGGGCCAUCGCCUUGGACCCCGCUCACGGGUACAUGUACUGGACAGACUGGGGAGAGAUACCCCGGAUCGAACGGGCAGGGAUGGAUGGCAGCACCCGGAAGGUUAUCGUGGACUCGGACAUUUACUGGCCCAACGGGCUGACCAUCGACCUGGAGGAGCAGAAGCUGUACUGGGCGGACGCCAAGCUCAGCUUCAUCCACCGCGCCAACCUGGACGGCUCCUUCCGGCAGAAGGUCGUGGAAGGCAGUCUGACGCACCCUUUUGCCCUGACGCUCUCUGGAGACACUCUGUACUGGACAGACUGGCAGACCCGCUCCAUCCACGCCUGUAACAAGAGGACUGGAGACAAGAGGAAGGAGAUCCUUAGCGCUCUCUACUCGCCCAUGGACAUCCAAGUGCUCAGCCCAGAGCGGCAGCCUUACUACCACACGCAAUGUGAGGAGAACAACGGCGGCUGCUCCCACCUGUGCCUGCUGUCCCCGAGGGAGCCCUUCUACGCGUGCGCCUGCCCCACCGGUGUGCAGCUUCAGGACAACGGCCAGACGUGCAAGGCAGGGGCCGAGGAGGUGCUGCUACUGGCCCGGCGGACGGACCUGCGGAGGAUCUCGCUGGACACGCCGGACUUCACAGACAUCGUGCUGCAGGUGGACGACAUCCGGCAUGCCAUCGCCAUCGACUACGACCCGCUGGAGGGCUACGUGUACUGGACGGACGACGAGGUGCGUGCCAUCCGCAGGGCGUACCUGGACGGGUCGGGGGCCCAGACGCUGGUCAACACCGAGAUCAACGACCCCGACGGCAUUGCAGUCGACUGGGUGGCCCGCAACCUCUAUUGGACGGACACGGGCACCGACCGCAUCGAGGUGACGCGCCUCAACGGCACCUCCCGCAAGAUCCUGGUGUCCGAGGACCUGGACGAGCCCCGCGCCAUCGUGCUGCACCCCGUGAUGGGCCUCAUGUACUGGACAGACUGGGGGGAGAACCCCAAAAUAGAGUGUGCCAACCUGGACGGGCAGGAGCGGCGCGUCCUGGUCAACACCUCCCUGGGCUGGCCCAAUGGCUUGGCUCUGGACCUGCAGGAGGGGAAGCUGUACUGGGGAGAUGCCAAGACGGACAAAAUCGAGGUGAUCAACAUCGACGGGACAAAGAGGCGGACGCUCCUGGAGGACAAGCUCCCACACAUUUUCGGGUUCACGCUGCUGGGGGACUUCAUCUACUGGACCGACUGGCAGCGGCGCAGCAUCGAGCGCGUGCACAAGGUCAAGGCGAGCCGGGACGUCAUCAUCGACCAGCUGCCCGACCUGAUGGGGCUCAAGGCUGUGAAUGUGGCCAAGGCCGUCGGGACCAACCCGUGUGCAGACAGGAAUGGGGGCUGCAGCCACCUGUGCUUCUUCACGCCCCGCGCCGCCAAGUGCGGCUGCCCCAUCGGCCUGGAGCUUCUGAGUGACAUGAAGACCUGCAUCGUCCCCGAGGCCUUCCUCGUGUUCACCAGCCGGGCCGCCAUCCACAGGAUCUCCCUGGACACCAAUAACAACGACGUGGCCAUCCCGCUCACGGGUGUCAAGGAGGCCUCUGCCCUGGAUUUUGACGUGUCCAACCAUCACAUCUACUGGACUGACGUCAGCCUAAAGACCAUCAGCCGGGCCUUCAUGAACGGGAGCUCCGUGGAGCACGUGAUCGAGUUUGGCCUCGACUACCCGGAAGGCAUGGCCGUCGACUGGAUGGGCAAGAACCUCUACUGGGCGGACACCGGGACCAAUAGGAUCGAAGUGGCCCGGCUGGACGGGCAGUUCCGGCAGGUCCUUGUGUGGAGGGAUCUGGACAACCCGAGGUCGCUGGCCCUGGACCCCACCAAAGGCUACAUCUACUGGACCGAGUGGGGCGGCAAGCCCAGGAUCGUGCGGGCCUUCAUGGACGGGACCAACUGCGUGACGCUGGUGGACAAGGUGGGCCGGGCCAACGACCUCACCAUCGACUACGCCGACCAGCGUCUCUACUGGACGGACCUGGACACCAACAUGAUUGAGUCAUCCAACAUGCUGGGUCAGGAACGGGUUGUGAUUGCCGAUGACCUCCCGCACCCCUUCGGCCUGACGCAGUACAGUGAUUACAUCUACUGGACAGACUGGAACCUGCACAGCAUUGAGCGAGCCGACAAGACCAGUGGCCGGAACCGCACCCUCAUCCAGGGCCACCUGGAUUUCGUGAUGGACAUCCUGGUGUUCCACUCCUCCCGCCAGGAUGGCCUCAAUGACUGCAUGCACAACAAUGGGCAGUGUGGGCAGCUGUGCCUCGCUGUCCCCAGCGGCCGCCGCUGCAGCUGUGCCUCACAUUACACCCUGGACCCCAGUAGCCGCAACUGCAGCCCACCCACCACCUUCCUGCUCUUCAGCCAGAAGUGUGCUAUCAGCCGAAUGAUCCCUGAUGACCAGCACAGCCCAGACCUCAUCCUGCCGCUGCACGGGCUGAGGAACGUCAAGGCCAUCGACUAUGACCCGCUGGACAAGUUCAUCUACUGGGUAGAUGGGCGCCAGAACAUCAAACGAGCCAAGGACGACGGGACCCAGCCCUUCGUUUUGACCUCUCCGAGCCAAAGCCAGAACCCGGACAGGCAGCCGCACGACCUCAGCGUGGACGUCUACAGCCGGACCCUGUUUUGGACUUGCGAGGCCACCGACACGAUCAACGUCCACCGGCUGAACGGGGAAGCCAUGGGCGUGGUGCUCCGCGGGGACCGCGACAAGCCGAGGGCCAUCGUCGUCAACGCCGAGCGAGGGUACCUGUACUUCACUAACAUGCAGGACCGAGCAGCCAAGAUAGAGCGCGCGGCCCUGGACGGCACCGAGCGCGAGGUCCUCUUCACCACGGGCCUCAUCCGCCCCGUGGCCCUCGUGGUGGACAACACGCUGGGCAAGCUCUUCUGGGUGGACGCCGACCUGAAGCGCAUUGAAAGCUGCGACCUGUCAGGGGCCAACCGCCUGACCCUGGAGGAUGCCAACAUCGUGCAGCCUGUGGGCCUGACUGUGCUGGGCAGGCACCUCUACUGGAUCGACCGCCAGCAGCAGAUGAUUGAGCGCGUGGACAAGACCACAGGGGAUGCGCGGACACGAGUCCAGGGCCGUGUCGCCCACCUGACCGGCAUCCAUGCCGUGGAGGACAUCAGCCUGGAGGAGUUCUCAGCCCACCCUUGUGCCCGGGACAAUGGCGGCUGUUCCCACAUCUGCAUUGCCAAGGGUGAUGGGACGCCACGGUGCUCAUGCCCAGUCCACCUCGUGCUCCUGCAGAACCUGUUGACUUGUGGUGAAGCAGCCAUCCUCCAUCACAGGCUCCUCAUGGGAGUAACAAAGACAGCGGAGAAAGCAUGUGCACAUGCGUGUGUAUGUUUUAUGCCCCAGCGUGUGGUCUACCUUGGUGAAUAUUCCAUGUGAGCCUGAGAAGAUGUGUCAUCUGAUGUUGCUGGGUGGAGUGUUCAGUAAAUGUUGGUUAGACCCAGCUGAUGGAUAGUGCUGUUCAGGUUGUCUGUAUCCUUCCUGACUGUUUGUGCUGUCAGUUACUGAUGGAGGUGUUGAAGUCUCCAAUAGUGGGUUUGUCUAAUUUUUUAGUACUGUCUUUUCUCCGCCUUCUACCCUUGAUCGUCUUCUUCCCUAAGGUUGCACAGGGAGUGGCCAAGAAUGUAAGCUGCAGUGUCAGACAGACCUGGGUUCAAAUCCCAGCUUUGCCACUUCCCAGCUGAGUGACCCUGGGCUGGUCACUCACCUCUCUGAGCCUCCACUUCCUUCUCUGUGAAAUAGAGAAAUUGAGAGCACUUACUUGAUGGGGUUGUUAUUAAGUAACAGAGUACUUUACAUGGUCCCUGACACAUGGCACACAGGAAUGCCAGCUGCUAUUAGUUGUGAGAAUGGCAGUAGUAAUAAAAAGGAAUAAUUGUCAUUGUCACCAUGAUGAAACCCAAUCCCCAGGACUUCCUCUCCUCUUCCUGCAGGUCCCCCAGGUGACCUUGGAUGUGCUGUUUCUGUGUUCCUCUCUUCUUCCCUCCUCCUCUGAGCUCCUGCGGGCCGGUCUUUACCCUGUCCCUUUGCUUCUCAUCCUCACCCCCACGACCUCCACGCUGUGUCCCACACACGGCAUAUGCUCAGCACAUCUCCGGGAAGCAGGACCGUGGGCCUGUCCUUCUGGAGCUUUCUCCUGCCCCACCUCACACUGUGAACCCCAGAGAGCUUGGCCAAGAACAGAGGGGAUGUUUCAUGACUGUCCCGUGGUGGGGGUCACCUUGACCCUCCUGAGCUUCCUGGUGGCUUGUUUCUGAGUUCCGGCCCCAGGGCCCAAGUGGUUGUGCAGGUCCCACAGACGUCCAGGCUGCCCUGGAGGAGACGGGGCCGGGGAGGGAGCUGCACAGAGUGCUCAGCUCUCCCUGGGACCCCAGCCCUGGGCCUCCCCAGGGGAGGACGCAUCCCUCUGUCACCCGCCCCCGGGCUUUGGCCCUCAGACUUGAGGAUGCCAGGCCCUUCCUCACGGCCUAAGAGGCCUGUAUUUACUGUGUCCCUGGCCUCUGCUCUGGGGGCUCACAGGAGGAUAAGGGCUGACUGAAGUUCCCAGGAGGUGCCAUGGACCCUCGUGCCUCGUGCACCGGCAGAGCAGCGCCACUGCCAAUGCUGCGCACGCGCACAUUACCUAACCAGGCACCGCACGCGUGCACACACUCGCUCACACAUGCCCGUGCGCGUGCUCUCUCCGCUGUCCUCGUUACUCCCGCGAGGAGCCUGUGAUGGAGGGUGGCUGCUUCUGUUUUAGGGACGAGGGGACGGAGGCUCUGGGAGGUUGGGGGGUCCUCGGGUCGCACAGCUGCUGGGGGAGCCUGGGUUCAACCCCAGGUCUGUGCAACCCCCAUCCUGUCCCGUCCUCACUCUCCGGCCGCUGCUGCCAGGACUGGGGGCCCUGCGGGGAGUCAGAGCCUGCCCCACGUGGACCCUCUUCUUCCUGCUGGGCUGUGGGGGGCUGGAGUCCAGGAGCGGGGCCUCGGCCACUGUCCACGUGCACCUUUCCGUGGCCAGCAUCCCUGUGUUCUCUGUUGGUGGCUCAGUGAGCACACAUCCGUUGUUGGCUCCUUUGUCCCCGGCUGUCCUCUGUGGCCGAGCCCAGUGGGAACAGCGGCCUUGUGUUCAUUUUUGCUCACAUCUCCUCCCCCAUCUCACAUCCCUAUUCAGCCCAGUGUGGACCCCGCAGUUAUGGGGGAGGCAUGUGGGUUCCCAAUGUUGAAAGGCUUAGUACAUCUUGAAAUCAGUACUUUUGUGAAACUGAAAGCUUUGUUGUUUUUUUGACCGUGCUGCGUGGCUUGUGUCCCUUAGUUCCCUGACCAGGGAUUGAACCCAGGGCACGGCAGUGACAGUGCCGACUCCUAACCACUGGACCGCCAGGGAACUCCCGACACCUUUUUCCUUAAUCAGAUUUCAAGGGUAUUGAGGACUGUUGCUAAACGUUAAAACGAAGUUUGGACCAGUUUCUGGGGCUCAGUUUCCUGUGAUUUUCCAGACCGAGGAGUGGAGAGACGAUGACGGGCCCCCUGGGAAAUGGGGGCAGCCUGGGACCAAGGGGCUCCUCCUGUGUCUCUCUGCCAGUGCCCUGGCAUCCGUGCCCACCUGCGUCUCGGCCUCCAGGACAGUGCCACUGCGCGUAGCCACUGAGUGCUAUUGCGCGUCUGGCCCAUUCUUAGCCUGCACUGGGGAAGUUGACCCCGAGGGGGAAGUGACUUGCCAUGGCCACCUGAGCCUCCUACGUGCUCCCCGGACCAGUUUGCGUGCGCCACUGGGGAGAUCGACUGCAUUCCUGGGGCCUGGCGCUGCGACGGCUUCCCGGAGUGUGAUGACCAGAGCGACGAGGAGGGC